rnacentral:rRNA from 1 species
CCCUUAGAUGUUCUGGGCCGCACGCGCGCUACACUGAUGCAUUCAACGAGCCUAUCCUUGACCGACAGGUCCGGGUAAUCUUUGAAUCUGCAUCGUGACGGGGAUAGAUUAUUGCAAUUAUUAAUCUUCAACGAGGAAUGCCUAGUAGGCGCAAGUCAUCAGCUUGCGUCGAUUACGUCCCUGCCCUUUGUACACACCGCCCGUCGCUCCUACCGAUUUGGUGUGCUGGUGAAAUGUUCGGAUCGGCCGUUUGUCGCGGUUUCCGCGUCAUGUGGCUGAGAAGUUCAUUAAACCCUCCCACCGAGAGGAAGGAGAAGUCGUAACA